rnacentral:tRNA from 12 species
UACUCAAUUUGGUAGAGCAUUCGACUAUUAAUCGAUUGUAGCAGGUUCAAUUCCUGUG